UAAGGAAUAUUGCUCAAUGGGAGAAAUCCUGAAGCAGCAACGCCGCGUGGAGGAUGAAGGGUCUAUGACUUGUAAACUCCUGUAAAGAAGGAAAAAAUUCCCAUUAGAUGGGAGAUGAUGGUACUUCUGGAGUAAGCCCCGGCUAACUACGUGCCAGCAGCCGCGGUAAUACAUAGGGGGCAAGCGUUGUCCGGAUUUACUGGGUGUAAAGGGUGCUCAGGCGGAUUUGUAAGUCAGAGGUGAAAUCUUACAGCUUAACUGUGAAACUGCCUUUGAUACUGCAAGCCUAGAGUAUGGAAGAGAGUGAUGGAAUAUCUGGUGUAGCAGUGAAAUGCGUAGAUAUCAGAUAGAACACCAAUGGCGAAGGCAGUCACUUGGUCCAUUACUGACGCUAAAGCACGAAAGCGUGGGUAGCAAACA
rnacentral:rRNA from 1 species